rnacentral:rRNA from 1 species
GUGCCAGCAGCCGCGGUAAUACGGAGGAUCCGAGCGUUAUCCGGAUUUAUUGGGUUUAAAGGGUGCGUAGGCGGAAUGAUCAGUCAGUUGUGAAAGUUUGAGGCUCAACCUUAAAAUUGCAGUUGAUACUGUCAUUCUUGAGUGUACAAGAGGUGGGCGGAAUUCGUGGUGUAGCGGUGAAAUGCUUAGAUAUCACGAAGAACUCCGAUUGCGAAGGCAGCUCACUGGGGUACAACUGACGCUGAGGCACGAAAGUGUGGGUAUCAAACAGGAUUAGAAACCCCCGUAGUCC